AUUGAACGCUGGCGGCAGGCCUAACACAUGCAAGUCGAGCGGAUGAAGGGAGCUUGCUCCUGGAUUCAGCGGCGGACGGGUGAGUAAUGCCUAGGAAUCUGCCUGGUAGUGGGGGAUAACGUCCGGAAACGGGCGCUAAUACCGCAUACGUCCUGAGGGAGAAAGUGGGGGAUCUUCGGACCUCACGCUAUCAGAUGAGCCUAGGUCGGAUUAGCUAGUUGGUGGGGUAAAGGCCUACCAAGGCGACGAUCCGUAACUGGUCUGAGAGGAUGAUCAGUCACACUGGAACUGAGACACGGUCCAGACUCCUACGGGAGGCAGCAGUGGGGAAUAUUGGACAAUGGGCGAAAGCCUGACCCAGCCAUGCCGCGUGUGUGAAGAAGGUCUUCGGAUUGUAAAGCACUUUAAGUUGGGAGGAAGGGCAGUAAGUUAAUACCUUGCUGUUUUGACGGUACCAACAGAAUAAGCACCGGCUAACUUCGUG
rnacentral:rRNA from 1 species